rnacentral:rRNA from 1 species
CCAAUAGCGUAUAUUAAAGUUGUUGCAGUUAAAAAGCUUGUAGUUGAACUUCGGGGUUCACCCAUUGGUUAGGCUUAAUUGUCUGUACUGGUGAGAUGAAUCUCUACCUUCUGAGGAACUUUCAUGCCAUUUAUUUGGUGUGGUAGGAAAUCAGGACUGUUACUUUGAAAAAAUUAGAGUGUUUAAAGCAGGCUAACGUCUGAAUACAUUAGCAUGGAAUAAUGAAAUAGGACGGACUGAUUCUAUUUCGUUGGUUUCUAGGAUCACCGUAAUGAUUAAUAGGGAUAGUUGGGGACAUUAGUAUUCAAUUGUCAGAGGUGAAAUUCUUGGAUUUAUUGAAGACUAACUACUGCGAAAGCAUUUGCCAAGGAUGUUUUCAUUAAUCAAGAACGAAAGUUAGGGGAUCGAAGACGAUCAGAUACCGUUGUAGUCUUAACCAUAAACUAUGCCGACUAGGGAUCGGACGAAGUUAAUUUUAUAAUGACGCGUUCGGCACCUUACG